UACGAGGGGGGCAAGUGUUGUUCGGAAUUACUGGGCGUAAAGGGAGCGUAGGCGGGCUCUUAAGUUGGAUGUUUAAAUCCGGGGCCUAACCCCGGCGUGGCAUCCAAAACUGGGAGUCUUGAAUGGGACAGAGGCCAGUGGAAUUAGAGGUGUAGCGGUGGAAUGCGUAGAUAUCUCUAAGAACACCAGUUGCGAAGGCGGCUGGCUGGGUCCACAUUGACGCUGAGGCUCGAAAGCGUGGGGAGCAAACAGG
rnacentral:rRNA from 1 species